AAUGAACGCUGGCGGCAUGCCUUACACAUGCAAGUCGAACGGCAGCAUGACCUAGCUUGCUAGGUUGAUGGCGAGUGGCGAACGGGUGAGUAAUGCAUCGGAACGUGCCUUUUAGUGGGGGAUAACGUAGCGAAAGUUAUGCUAAUACCGCAUAUUCUCUGAGGAGGAAAGCAGGGGACCUUCGGGCCUUGCGCUAGAAGAGCGGCCGAUGUCGGAUUAGCUAGUUGGUGAGGUAAAGGCUCACCAAGGCAACGAUCCGUAGCGGGUCUGAGAGGAUGAUCCGCCACACUGGGACUGAGACACGGCCCAGACUCCUACGGGAGGCAGCAGUGGGGAAUUUUGGACAAUGGGCGCAAGCCUGAUCCAGCCAUGCCGCGUGAGUGAAGAAGGCCUUCGGGUUGUAAAGCUCUUUCGGCUGGGAAGAAAUCGCACCCUCUAAUACAGGGUGUGGAUGACGGUACCAGCAUAAGAAGCACCGGCUAACUACGUG
rnacentral:rRNA from 1 species